rnacentral:rRNA from 1 species
UACAGAGGGUGCGAGCGUUGUCCGGAAUCACUGGGCGUAAAGGGCGCGUAGGCGGCUUUUCACGCGUGCGGUGAAAGCUCGGGGCUUAACUCCGAGUCUGCCGUGCGAACGGGGAGGCUUGAGUCUGGUAGAGGUCGAUGGAAUUCCAGGUGUAGCGGUGAAAUGCGUAGAUAUCUGGAGGAACACCGGUGGCGAAGGCGGCGUUCUGGACUGCAACUGACACUGAUAAACGAAAGCCAGGGUAGCAAACGGG